CCUACGGGAGGCUGCAGUGGGGAAUAUUGCACAAUGGGGGAAACCCUGAUGCAGCGACGCCGCGUGGGUGACGAAAUAUUUCGGUAUGUAAAGCCCUAUCAGCAGGGAAGAAGAUGACAGUACCUGACUAAGAAGCCCCGGCUAACUACGUGCCAGCAGCCGCGGUAAUACGUAGGGGGCAAGCGUUAUCCGGAUUUACUGGGUGUAAAGGGAGCGUAGGUGGCAUGGCAAGCCAGAAGUGAAAACCCGGGGCUUAACCCCGCGGAUUGCUUUUGGAACUGUCAGGCUGGAGUGCAGGAGGGGCAGGCGGAAUUCCUGGUGUAGCGGUGAAAUGCGUAGAUAUUAGGAGGAACACCGGUGGCGAAGGCGGCUUACUGGACUGUAACUGACGUUGAGGCUCGAAAGCGUGGGGAGCAAACAGGAUUAGAUACCCCAGUAGUC
rnacentral:rRNA from 1 species